CAUGGGAACUUUAAAAGCAGGAUUCUUAAACUGGGGGUUGCGACCUCUCAGGGGGGUCAUGAGGUUAUUACAUGGGGGGUCGCGAGCUGUCAGCCUCCACACCCAAGCCCCACUUCGCCUCCAGCAUUUAUAAUAUUAAAUAUAAAAAAGUGUUUUU